rnacentral:rRNA from 1 species
UACGUAGGAGGCGAGCGUUGUCCGGAAUCACUGGGUGUAAAGCGCGUGUAGGCGGCCUGUCAAGUCUGCUGUGAAAGCGCCUGGCUUAACCGGGCGAGGUCGGUGGAAACUGGCGGGCUGGAGGCCGGUAGAGGGGGGUGGAAUUCCCGGUGUAGUGGUGAAAUGCGUAGAGAUCGGGAGGAACACCAGUGGCGAAGGCGGCUCACUGGCCCGAUACGUGACGCUGAGGCACGAAAGCGUGGGGAGCAAACAGG